GUGUCAGCCGCCGCGGUAAUACGUAGGUGGCAAGCGUUGUCCGGAAUUAUUGGGCGUAAAGCGCGCGUAGGCGGGAUAUCCAGUCCACUUUCAAAGUGCGGGGCUCAACCCCGUGAUGGGGUGGAAACUGAUAUUCUUGAGUGCAGGAGAGGAAAGCGGAAUUCCCAGUGUAGCGGUGAAAUGCGUAGAGAUUGGGAGGAACACCAGUGGCGAAGGCGGCUUUCUGGACUGUGUCUGACGCUGAGGUGCGAAAGCCAGGGGAGCGAACGGGAUUAGAUGCCCCGGUAGUCCUGGCCGUAAACGAUGGGUACUAGGUGUAGGGGGGGUCAAACCCUUCGGUGCCGGAGUUAACGCAAUAAGUACCCCGCCUGGGGAGUACGGCCGCAAGGUUGAAACUCAAAUGAAUUGACGG
rnacentral:rRNA from 1 species